CUUUUUUUAAUGAUUUUGACAUUUGGUCGUAUGUUUUUCAACGUUCUAUUAUAACCUUUUCUUUACAUGCUAUAAAAUUGAAUAAAACACCCAAAUUCAAAGCAAGCAGUGAACUGAUCAUGUAUUUAAGUUGAGGAGAGCGUUGUUGGGAACCAUCCACGUU